rnacentral:rRNA from 1 species
ACCCGCACAAGCGGUGGAUGAUGUGGAUUAAUUCGAUGCAACGCGAAGAACUUACACCCUUGACAUGUCCGGAACUUACCAGAGAUGGCUUGGUGCCCGAAAGGGAAUCGGAACACAGGUGCUGCAUGGCUGUCGUCAGCUCGUGUCGUGAGAUGUUGGGUUAAGUCCCGCAACGAGCGCAACCCUUAUCAUUAGUUGCUACGCAAGGGCACUCUAAUGAGACUGCCGGUGACAAACCGGAGGAAGGUGGGGAUGACGUCAAGUCCUCAUGGCCCUUAUGGGUAGGGCUUCACACGUCAUACAAUGGUCGGUACAGAGGGUUGCCAAGCCGCGAGGCGGAGCCAAUCCCACAAAGCCGAUCGUAGUCCGGAUUGUUCUCUGCAACUCGAGAGCAUGAAGUCGGAAUCGCUAGUAAUCGCAGGUCAGCAUACUGCGGUGAAUACGUUCCCGGGUCUU